GACCAAUCAGCAGGACAUGGGCGGGGCCAAACAAGGGAAUAAAAGCUGGCCACUGCAGUCAGCAGUGGCAACCUGCUUGGGUCCGCUUCCACACUGUGGAAGCUUUGCUCUUUCGCUCUUCACAAUAAAUCUUGCGGCUGCUCACUCUUUGGGUCUGCACUACCUUUAUGAGCUGUAACACUCACCAUGAGGGUCUGUGUCUUCAUUCCUUGAAGUCAGUGAGACCACGAACCCACUGGGAGGAACAAACAACUCCAGAUGCGCCACCUUUAAGAGCUGUAACACUCACCGCAAAGGUCUGUGGCUUCACUUCUGAAGUCAGCGAGACCACGAACCCACUGGAAGGAAGAAACUCCAGACACACCAUCUUUAAGAGCUGUAACACUCACCGCAAAGGUCUGUGGCUUCAUUCUCAAAGUCAGUGACACCAAGAACCCACCAGAAGGAAUAAAUUCUGGACACAUUUUGGUGACCACGAAGGGACUAUCACCUAUCGCCAAGUGGCAGGGGAAAAGCAUAGGAAAAUGAAUUUAAAAGAGUUCCCACUGGCCUGUGAGGGGGGGCGUUCCUUGGCUGGAAAAUGAGAAGCAGAGGACCAUCACAAGUAGAAGAGUUUCUGAUCAAUGGAGAAAACGUCCAGCAAACUGAAAUUGAGAGACGUUUUAU
rnacentral:lncRNA from 1 species